rnacentral:tRNA from 2 species
GCCCCGAUGCUGGAAUUGGCAGACAGGCACGCCUCAGAAGCGUGUGCUCGCAAGGGCGUGGAGGUUCGACUCCUCUUCGGGGCA